CGCGUAGGUGUGUUGUCCACGUACAAAUGUAUAUGCGGCUGUAAAUACCGUAAAGAAAGCACCAGUAUCCAAUAAAAAUUUGUUGCUUUAGUGCAUUUCUCAUUUUUUUUCGCUGCUUGUUUCCCUUUUUCUCAAAAACGAUCUGGGCAUACUUCACUUUUUUACGUUCAAAAUGAAGACUCUGGUGACCCUUGUUUGUAUCGCUUCAUGGUGUUUCCUGAAAUGUACGGCGCAACAAUGUUCCCCGUCACUUCCCACCAGUCUGCAAGGAAUAGGCGGAGAUGUUCCUCAACAGGCUGACGGGGUAUGGUACACAUACCGCCAAAUGGGCGGGACUUAUCCCACUGCAUCGCAGAUCUAGAUUACCAGCGUAGCACCCUAUUCCGACCCGGUCACCAGUGCACCGGGAUAUCUGCAAUGGUGGCAGAUCUUCCCGGAUUCAGCCGGUGCAGCCUGUUCCCGCCAAUACUGGACCGGACCGUACACUACGAUGGGCGCUCAAGUCGGUGACUUGGGUGGAUCCGCCGACAAUUAUAUUAUGCGUCCAACUGAUUUCGUGAUUCUGUACCAUGACUACCAGAACCUAAUGAUCAGCUACGGAUGCAAUAAGACGAUGGCGGACAAUGUCCAUUGCGCCACGCCCACCAUCAUCGCCCAGACUCGCAAGCGACCCGACCAGUUGUCGCAAGCGGAUAUGGACAGUCUCGACAACAUUAUCAACUCGGCAUUCUCCAAAUAUUGCAUUACGGUGCAGAAUAUCCCGAAGGAUACGUACGGACCAAAGGGCACCUGCACCGCGAUGGACCCACCGUCCUGCAUUGCUGCAGAUAUUCAGGGAAUGAGGAACACCAUUGUCAACACC